AUGGCCAUACCAUGCUGAAUAUACCGGUUCUCGUUAGAUCACCGAAGUCAAGCAUCAUUGGGCGUGGCCAGUACUUGGGUGGGUGACCACCUGGGAACACCGCGUGCCGUU
rnacentral:rRNA from 1 species